AUUUUUAUUUAGAGAUUCUCUAGGGAGUUUUUCAGGCAGCUUUUAUCUUCAGAGUAGGCUUAGAAAGCCCAGGAAAUGGAAACCAGUGGAAAUAAAGCAUUCCUCUCUUACUGGCUGCAGCUAUGGAACAAGGAUUCUGAAGAGGUGAAAACAUAGAAUGUCAGGAUGUGCUGGGAGAUCCUGCUUUCUGUGGAAAAUCCGCGUGUCAAUACCUCUAAAUAUGUUAGCUCAUGUUCUCCAACAUAAUAGAUGUAAAAUGAUGAAAAAAUUCAAUAUCCAAAAUAACAACUAUGCAUUUAAACACCCUUGCUGCAGUUGAUGCAAUCUUAGACAGGUAAAGCUCCAUGCUCUUCUCCCUGACAAAGACAAUUUCCUCAUUUGUUACAGGUGUCUGUAUGUUAAGGUAUACAAGAUAAAUAAUCAUGUGGUUUACUUUGAGUCAAGAGUAAUGCACAGUGCAGAAGCAGCAUCAGCAGCAUCUUUAUAACCACUGAGCUAUUGAUGCACAAAUAAGCACUGCUUUUGCACAGCAUGCCCUGAAUCUAUUCUGGAUCCAGCAGCAAGGGUACUAUGGCUUACCAGAGAGUAUUUUCCCCAAGAGUGGGAUUUGCACAGAAGAGACAUCAGUCUGGCUCUUACAAAGCCCUGUCUGUCUCUGUUUGUUUUCAGACCCAGAGUAUUAAUAAAAUUCAAAAGACAGACAUGAAUGUUUCUUUCAUCUUCCUACUUGAAACAGAAAGGUGCCAAACUUCCAGGGAAUUCAUUUUACCAUGUCUGGAUACAUAUACUGUGAAGGAAAAGCGUAGAACAGUGAAAACACCCCUAAUUCUUUCAUCUAAUGAAAAUCAAGCUUGCUGUUCUGAGGGAGGAACUCUCUUAAAUAAUGUUUCAAUAUAAGGGUGUUCCCCCCACAUCAAGGAGGAUUAAAAUGACUUUUUUUUUAUCAGCAGUAUCUUUAUUGUUAUCUGGAAAAUAAAGUUGUGAUUGAAACAAGAUUAAUAUAGCAAUAGGAAAAUCCUUCAAAGCAGAGCCAUAUAGAACAUUCCCUUUGUGUAAAGCACAAUAAAGAGAUGAGAGAGAAGCUGUUUCAGGCUAACACUAUGAAUAUAUAGGCAAGGACUUAAUUUUUAGACUUUUGGAGCACACUACAGAUGUAUUGCUUGAAAACAAGGUGGGGCGGGGGGAAGCCAGAGUACUUGAACAAGGAAUGAACAGCCAAAACUUCAUUAGAUAUAGAGUCAUUAAGUGUUUAAUAAAUAUUACUGAUUUGUAUUCAUAAAAAAAUAUAUUAGAGUGCAUAUGAAUGUUGAACUACACUUUGUUAUGUUAAUAAUUAAGGAUUUAAUUGCCUAUAUGGGUGAUAGAGAAGUAUUGUAAGCUGAAAUGGUUCAUGCUACUUGGAGUAGCAAAAGUACUAGCUAGGGAGACAGUAAGCUUGCUUAUUUAUUUAUGUAAAAUCUGGAAUACUGUGAAUGUUUCUGGCUAGAAGUAGCAUCCUGUUCGGCAGUGAUGAUCCAGUGUGAGCCAUGAAUAUUUUUUUUUCUAUCUGCACCAUUGCUUUUUCUUAUAAAAGGAAACAGAAAACAGGUGCCCAGGCAUCCAUCAGGCUGCUGGGCAUCUGACCUGAGUAUCUGACAGGCUCCCAGACAUCCAGCACUCUCCAGACAGCUAAGUGCCAGUGUGUGACAGCUGCCCUCUGAGGAACCACUGUCUCCAUGGGCAGAAAUUGCUGUUCUGAGACUCUCUUAUUGAGGAAACCAGCUCUUACAGGCACUGAAGCUGGAAUAACAAAUGUGUUAGUUUUAUUCAUGUGUCAAUCGGUCUGUCCAUAAACCCCCUGGUCUGGCCAUUAAGCCUUUAAAAGUACAAACAACUAAAAGUAUC
ensembl:lncRNA